rnacentral:rRNA from 1 species
GAUGAACGCUGGCGGCGUGCCUAAUACAUGCAAGUCGAGCGAAGCGGGGACGGGUGAGUAACACGUGGAUAACCUCCUAUAAGCAUGGGAUAACUUCGGGUACCCGGAGCACAUCCGUAUACUUAUAGAUGGUUCAGUGAUGCAUUAGCUAUUUGGGAAGGUAACGGCUUACCAAGGACACGAUGCAUAGCCGACCUGAGAGGGUGAUCGGCCACACUGGAACUGAGACACGGUCCAGACUCCUACGGGAGGCAGCAGUGGGGAAUCUUCCGCAAUGGGCGAAAGCCUGACGGAGCAACGCCGCGUGAGUGAUGAAGGUCUUCGGAUCGUAAAACUCUGUUAUUAGGGAAGCGGUACCUAAUCAGAAAGCCACGGCUAACUACGUGCCAGCAGCCGCGGUAAUAC